rnacentral:rRNA from 1 species
AGGAUUAACGCUGGCGGCGUGCAUGAGACAUGCAAGUCGAACGGACACUCGGGGCUUGCUCUGAGUGUUAGUGGCGGACGGCUGAGUAACGCGUAGGUGACCUGCCCCGAAGUGGGGAAUAACUGCCCGAAAGGGUGGCUAAUACCGCAUGUGGUGAUGCGUUCAUUCGCAUCAGUAAAGCCGCAAGGCGCUUCGGGAGGGGCCUGCGUCCGAUUAGCUUCGUUGGUGAGGUAACGGCUCACCAAGGCGACGAUCGGUAGGUGGUCUGAGAGGACGA